GCUCCCUUUGGCAACAUAUAUACUAAAUUGGAACAAUACAGAGAUUAGUAUAUCCUUGUGAAAAGAUAACAUGAAAACUCAGGAAACAUUCCAUAUUUUU
ensembl:snRNA U6 U6 spliceosomal RNA